rnacentral:miRNA from 1 species
UCAAAACUGAACCGAAAAUGCAAGACUUGCUUUAAUUGUUUUCCUUUAAUUUCUUUCUGUAUUAUUUGCUAUUAUGGAACUCAUGUUAUUUACACUGUGCUAGAUCAAUACAUAUAAACACUGACAGAAAACAAUUAAAGCAAGUUUUGCAUUUUCGGUUCAGUUUUGA